rnacentral:miRNA from 1 species
CCCUCCCUCCCAGACCCUCCCAACUCUUGGACAGCUCACUAAGAAUGCAGCUUCACAAUAAAAUGGAUGCUGUCCAGGAGGUGGGAGGGUCUGGGAGGGAGGG